GAUGAAGAACGCAGCGAAAUGCGAUAAGUAAUGUAAAUUGCAGAAUUCAGUGAAUCAUCGAAUCUUUGAACGCACAUUGCGCCCCUUGGUAUUCCGAGGGGCAUGCCUGUUCGAGCGUCAUUAUAACCCCUCAAGCUCAGCUUGGUGUUGGGGCCUGCUGCACUGGCAGCCCUUAAAAUCAGUGGCGGCGCCAUCUGGCUCUAAGCGUAGUAAUUCUUCUCGCUAUGGAGUCCUGGUGGAUGCUUGCCAUCAACCCCCAAUUUUUCUAUGGUUGACCUCGGAUCAGGUAGGGAUACCCGCUGAACUUAAGCAUAUCAAUAAGCGGAGGA
rnacentral:misc_RNA from 1 species